rnacentral:rRNA from 1 species
GACGAACGCUGGCGGCAUGCCUGAUACAUGCAAGUCGAGCGAACAGAUGAAGUGCUUGCACUUCUGACGUUAGCGGCGAACGGGUGAGUAACACGUAAGGAAUCUACCUAUAAGCGGGGGAUAACAUUCGGAAACGGGUGCUAAUACCGCAUAAUAUCUUCUUCCGCAUGGAAGGAGAUUGAAAGACGGCUCUGCUGUCACUUAUAGAUGACCUUGCGGUGCAUUAGUUAGUUGGUGGGGUAACGGCCUACCAAGACGAUGAUGCAUAGCCGACCUGAGAGGGUGAUCGGCCACAUUGGGACUGAGACACGGCCCAAACUCCUACGGGAGGCAGCAGUAGGGAAUCUUCCGCAAUGGGCGAAAGCCUGACGGAGCAAUGCCGCGUGAGUGAAGAAGGCCUUCGGGUCGUAAAACUCUGUUAUAAGAGAAGAACAAAUUGUAGAGUAACUGCUACAGUCUUGACGGUAUCUUAUCGGAAAGCCACGGCUAACUACGUGCCAGCCGCCGCGGUAA